AAGAGAGUAAUAUAUUUGGAUUGCACCCAAAAUAAGCGUAAGCUCUCUCUAA
rnacentral:tRNA from 1 species